rnacentral:sRNA from 1 species
GCUGGGCGUCGUUCUGGGUAUGGCCGAUCAGCACGCCGUAGCCGUGCGACCGUGCCUCGUUUUCGAGGCCGACCAGAAUACUAGAAAAGUUCGGAUCGCCGAUAUCAGGAGCGACGACCAGGA